UACGUAGGGUGCAAGCGUUAAUCGGAAUUACUGGGCGUAAAGCUUGCUCAGGCGGUUCGCUAAGUCAGAUGUGAAAUCCCCGGGCUUAACCUGGGAACUGCGGUUGUGACUGCAAGACUGGAGUGUGGCAGAGGGGGGUGGAAUUCCACGUGUAGCAGUGAAAUGCGUAGAUAUGCGGAGGAACACCGAUGGCGAAGGCAAUCCCCUGGACCUGUACUGACGCUCAUGCACGAAAGCGUGGGGAGCAAACAGG
rnacentral:rRNA from 1 species